GGGGAAUUUUCCGCAAUGGGCGAAAGCCUGACGGAGCAAUACCGCGUGAGGGAGGAAGGCUUUUAGGUUGUAAACCUCUUUUCUUAGGGAAGAAGCUCUGACGGUACCUAAGGAAUCAGCAUCGGCUAACUCCGUGCCAGCAGCCGCGGUAAUACGGAGGAUGCAAGCGUUAUCCGGAAUUAUUGGGCGUAAAGCGUCCGCAGGUGGCUCCUCAAGUCUGCUGUCAAAGACCAGAGCCCAACUCUGGGCCGGCGGUGGAAACUGGGAGGCUAGAGUACGGUAGGGGUAGAGGGAAUUCCCAGUGUAGCGGUGAAAUGCGUAGAGAUUGGGAAGAACACCAGUGGCGAAGGCGCUCUACUGGACCUGUACUGACACUCAGGGACGAAAGCUAGGGGAGCGAAAGGGAUUAGAUACCCCUGUAGUC
rnacentral:rRNA from 1 species